rnacentral:rRNA from 1 species
GACGAACUGUGCGAACGUUAUUCGGAAUCACUGGGCUUACAGGGUGCGUAGGCGGCUUGUUAAGUAGGGUGUGAAAUCCCCCGGCCCAACCGGGGAAUGGCGCUCUAAACUAGCAGGCUUGAGUGAGCUAGGGGUGCACGGAACUUCCAGUGGAGCGGUGAAAUGUGUUGAUAUUGGAAGGAACACCGGUGGCGAAGGCGGCAUCCUGGACCGGCAUUGACGCUGAGGCGCGAAAGCCAGGGGAGCAAAGCGGG